rnacentral:rRNA from 1 species
GAUGAACGCUGGCGGCGUGCCUAAUACAUGCAAGUCGAGCGAACGGACGAGAAGCUUGCUUCUCUGAUGUUAGCGGCGGACGGGUGAGUAACACGUGGAUAACCUACCUAUAAGACUGGGAUAACUUCGGGAAACCGGAGCUAAUACCGGAUAAUAUUUUGAACCGCAUGGUUCAAAAGUGAAAGACGGUCUUGCUGUCACUUAUAGAUGGAUCCGCGCUGCGUUAGCUAGUUGGUAAGGUAACGGCUUACCAAGGCAACGAUGCAUAGCCGACCUGAGAGGGUGAUCGGCCACACUGGAACUGAGACACGGUCCAGACUCCUACGGGAGGCAGCAGUAGGGAAUCUUCCGCAAUGGGCGAAAGCCUGACGGAGCAACGCCGCGUGAGUGAUGAAGGUCUUCGGAUCGUAAAACUCUGUUAUUAGGGAAGAACAUAUGUGUAAGUAACUGUGCACAUCUUGACGGUACCUAAUCAGAAAGCCACAGCUAACUACGUG